rnacentral:misc_RNA from 1 species
GAUGAAGAACGUAGCGAAAUGCGAUAAGUACUGUGAAUUGCAGAAUUCAGUGAAUCAUCGAAUCUUUGAACGCACCUUGCGCCCUUUGGCCAUUCCGAAGGGCAUGCCUGUUUGAGUAUCAUGAACACCUCAACUCUUCAUGGUUUUCCGUGAUGAGCUUGGACUUUGGGGGUCUUGCUGGCCUAUGGUCAGCUCCUCUAAAAUAAAUCAGCUUACCAGUGUUUGGUGGGUAUCAUGGGUGUGAUAACUAUCUACGCUUGUGGUUUUUCCACCAGGUAACCUUCAGCAGUGGAGGUUCGCUGGAGCUCAUAGAUGUCUCUCCUCAGUGAGGACAGCCCUUUGAAUGUUUGAUCUCAAAUCAGGUAGGACUACCCGCUGAACUUAAGCAUAUCAAUAAGCGGAGGA